rfam:Myxococcales bacterium SG8_38 WOR_8-12_377, whole genome shotgun sequence.
UCCGAGCCGUUGGAGAUAGAUCGACGGAGAGACAACCGCCGGUCAAACGGGGAAGUCGGUGCAAGGCCGACGCGGACCCGCCACGGUAUGUGACCGAAUGCGCUGCCACGAUGCCACUGGGCGAGGAAAAGCCUGGGAAGGCGGCAGAGCCUAGGGUCACGAGCCCGGAGACCUACCUAGCAAGCCCACUCGAA